rnacentral:rRNA from 1 species
UCCGUAGGCGGUGCGGCAAGUCGGAAGUGAAAUCUCUGGGCUUAACUCAGAGGCUGCUUCCGAAACUGCCGUGCUCGAGUGCGAGAGAGGCAAGUGGAAUUGCGGGUGUAGCGGUGAAAUGCGUAGAUAUCCGCAGGAACAUCCGAGGCGAAAGCGGCUUGCUGGAUCGCAACUGACGCUGAGGGACGAAAGCUAGGGGAGCAAACAGGAUUAGAUACCCUGGUAGUCCUAGCCCUAAACCAUCAGGACUUGGGGUUUGCCCUGUACGGGGCAGGUCCCGGAGCUAACGCGUUAAGUCCUGCGCCUGGGGAGUACGGUCGCAAGGCUGAA